UAAUUCUAGACAAAAAAAAACCCGUAUUUUUACUGCAGGUUAAAAAAACACACAACAAUUAAGUCCGUCCAACCAAUUGAACCUACAAGUGAUGGAAGCAACAUCUUGAAUAUUUGAAAAAAAACAAGAUUAUUUUAUGUAAAGCGAAUCAUCAAAUUAUAAGACUGAGUUCUAAAUAUCAAACAGACAACAAUGCAUGACCUAAUUAUUCCAUUGAGCGUUUAGACUUAGCAACAAUACAAGUCUAAUACAAUAUCAUGGAGCAUGCUAUUCAUUGCAGGUGAGGAUCCUCAGGAAGGAAUCCUAUUGGUAUAAAGGGACUGGAACUGUGGUGACAGUGGACCAGGAUCCAGACACUCGUUACCCGGUUGUGGUUCGAUUUGACAAGGUUGAUUAUGCUAAUGUGUCCACCAACAACUUUGCACUAGAUGAGAUUCAAGAAGUGAAAUGAGAUCCUCAGAAUCAAUGGAAGGGAAUGCCAUAUAUUUUACAAUCAGUAGAAGUGUAAACUCUUGUAUAAUAUCAGUCAUUUGUCUGAGCUGUUUUAUUUACCAUCUCUUUUCAUUCAUUCAUUUAAUCUUUGUGAUGCCUGUGAACCUGAAAUUAUGAUCCUAAGAAGCUGCAAACCUAGUAAA